GCUCUAGCUUCUCACAGGUGUGCCUGGAGGCCUGGCUCUAGCUUCUCACAGGUGUGCCUGGAGGCCUGGCUCUAGCAUCUCACAGGUGUGCCUGGAGGCCUGGCUCUAGCUUCUCACAGGUGUGCCUGGAGGCCUGGCUCUAGCUUCUCACAGGUGUGCCUGGAGGCCUGGUUCUAGCAUCUCACAGAUGUGCCUGGAGGCCUGGCUCUAGCUUCUCACAGGUGUGCCUGGAGGCCUGGCUCUAGCAUCUCACAGAUGUGCCUGGAGGCCUGGCUCUAGCUUCUCACAGUUGUGCCUGGAGGCCUGGCUCUAGCUUCUCACAGGUGUGCCUGGAAGCCUGGCUCUAGCUUCUCACAGGUGUGCCUGGAUGCCUGGCUCCUGCACAUUUAGAUCUUGUCAAGUUGUCAAUCAACACUACCAUCAGAUAAAGUUUUUAGAAAUAAUUACCUUAGAAAAGAGGAGAGUAUAGUUUUAAAUCUAUCUUUUUAUUUUGCUUAUCUGCUUUUCUUCUGUUGUUGUUGUUGUU